rnacentral:rRNA from 1 species
UACGUAGGGACCGAGCGUUGUCCGGAUUCAUUGGGCGUAAAGCGCUCGUAGGCGGCUGUUCAAGUCUGACGUGAAAACUCGGAGCUCAACUCCGAGCCUGCGUUCGAUACUGGACGGCUAGAGUCUGGUAGGGGGAUCUGGAAUUCCUGGUGUAGCGGUGGAAUGCGCAGAUAUCAGGAGGAACACCGGUGGCGAAGGCGGGAUCCUGGGCCAGUACUGACGCUGAGGAGCGAAAGCGUGGGGAGCAAACAGG